rnacentral:rRNA from 1 species
AGACCCGAAACCCGGUGAUCUAGCCAUGGGCAGGUUGAAGGUUGGGUAACACUAACUGGAGGACCGAACCGACUAAUGUUGAAAAAUUAGCGGAUGACCUGUGGCUGGGGGUGAAAGGCCAAUCAAACCGGGAGAUAGCUGGUUCUCCCCGAAAGCUAUUUAGGUAGCGCCUCGUGAAUUCAUCUCCGGGGGUAGAGCACUGUUUCGGCUAGGGGGUCAUCCCGACUUACCAACCCGAUGCAAACUGCGAAUACCGGAGAAUGUUAUCACGGGAGACACACGGCGGGUGCUAACGUCCGUCGUGAAGAGGGAAACAACCCAGACCGCCAGCUAAGGUCCCAAAGUCAUGGUUAAGUGGGAAACGAUGUGGGAAGGCCCAGACAGCCAGGAUGUUGGCUUAGAAGCAGCCAUCAUUUAAAGAAAGCGUAAUAGCUCACUGGUCGAGUCGGCCUGCGCGGAAGAUGUAACGGGGCUAAACCAUGCACCGAAGCUGCGGCAGCGACACUCAGGUGUUGUUGGGUAGGGGAGCGUUCUGUAAGCCUGCGAAGGUGGCCUGUGAGGGUUGCUGGAGGUAUCAGAAGUGCGAAUGCUGACAUAAGUAACGAUAAAGCGGGUGAAAAGCCCGCUCGCCGGAAGACCAAGGGUUCCUGUCCAACGUUAAUCGGGGCAGGGUGAGUCGACCCCUAAGGCGAGGCCGAAAGGCGUAGUCGAUGGGAAACGGGUUAAUAUUCCCGUACUUGGUGUUACUGCGAAGGGGGGACGGAGAAGGCUAUGUUGGCCGGGCGACGGUUGUCCCGGUUUAAGCGUGUAGGUGUGUGUUCCAGGUAAAUCCGGUUCACUUUAACACUGAGGCGUGAUGACGAGGCACUACGGUGCUGAAGCAACAAAUGCCCUGCUUCCAGGAAAAGCCUCUAAGCAUCAGGUAACAUCAAAUCGUACCCCAAACCGACACAGGUGGUCAGGUAGAGAAUACCAAGGCGCUUGAGAGAACUCGGGUGAAGGAACUAGGCAAAAUGGUGCCGUAACUUCGGGAGAAGGCACGCUGACACGUAGGUGAAGUGAUU